GCCGAAGUGGUGGAAUUGGUAGACACGCCAUCUUGAGGGGGUGGUGGGGAGACCCGUGGGGGUUCGAGUCCCCCCUUCGGCACCA
rnacentral:tRNA from 1 species